UACGUAGGGUGCAAGCGUUAAUCGGAAUUACUGGACGUAAAGCGUGCGCAGGCGGUUAUGUAAGACAGAGGUGAAAUCCCCGGGCUCAACCUGGGAACUGCCUUUGUGACUGCAUAGCUAGAGUACGGUAGAGGGGGAUGGAAUUCCGCGUGUAGCAGUGAAAUGCGUAGAUAUGCGGAGGAACACCGAUGGCGAAGGCAAUCCCCUGGACCUGUACUGACGCUCAUGCACGAAAGCGUGGGGAGCAAACAGG
rnacentral:rRNA from 1 species